rnacentral:misc_RNA from 1 species
CCAAUAGCGUAUAUUAAAGUUGUUGCAGUUAAAAAGCUCGUAGUUGAAUUUCGGGAUCAGUAGGUCGGUCGUGCCACUGGUAUGAACUGGUCUCACUGGUUCCUCCCUCUUGACGAACUGCAAUGCUAUUAAUUUAGUGUUGUAGGAAAUCAGGACUGUUACUUUGAAAAAAUUAGAGUGUUUAAAGCAGGCUUUGGCUUGAAUACAUUAGCAUGGAAUAAUGAAAUAGGACGUUCGAUCCUAUUUUGUUGGCUUCUAGGAUUGACGUAAUGAUUAAUAGGGACAGUUGGGGGCAUUAGUAUUCAAUUGUCAGAGGUGAAAUUCUUGGAUUUAUUGAAGACUAACUACUGCGAAAGCAUUUGCCAAGGAUGUUUUCAUUAAUCAAGAACGAAAGUUAGGGGAUCGAAGACGAUCAGAUACCGUCGUAGUCUUAACCAUAAACUAUGCCGACUAGGGAUCGGAUGAUGUUAAUUUUUUAAUGACUCAUUCGGCGCCUUACA